UGGGGAAUAUUGCACAAUGGGCGCAAGCCUGAUGCGGCCAUGCCGCGUGUGUGAAGAAGGCCUUCGGGUUGUAAAGCACUUUCAGCGAGGAGGAAGGUGGUGAGCUUAAUACGCUCAUCAAUUGACGUUACUCGCAGAAGAAGCACCGGCUAACUCCGUGCCAGCAGCCGCGGUAAUACGGAGGGUGCAAGCGUUAAUCGGAAUUACUGGGCGUAAAGCGCACGCAGGCGGUUUGUUAAGUCAGAUGUGAAAUCCCCGGGCUCAACCUGGGAACUGCAUUUGAAACUGGCAAGCUAGAGUCUCGUAGAGGGGGGUAGAAUUCCAGGUGUAGCGGUGAAAUGCGUAGAGAUCUGGAGGAAUACCGGUGGCGAAGGCGGCCCCCCUGGACGAAGACUGACGCUCAGGUGCGAAAGCGUGGGGCAGCAAACAGGAUUAGAUACCCUGGUAGUCCACGCUGUAAACGAUGUCGACUUUGGAGGUUGUGCCCUUGAGGCGUGGCUUCCGGAGCUAACGCGUUAAAUCGACCGCCUGGGGAGUACGGCCGCAAGGUUAAAACU
rnacentral:rRNA from 1 species